rnacentral:rRNA from 1 species
AUGAAGAUGAGGAUGCCCGACGCACUCCAUUGUGUGCUCGCACUGCUCUUCCUAUGGAUGGCAACGGUGCAAGCAUCCGGCCCGCAGAGAAGCCGAGCGGCGAACGCCACAGCUCCAUCUGCCGCCACGCUCGCUGCUUGUCCAAAGGGCUGUGGCGACCUGAGAUUCGAAUACCCCUUCGGCGUUGGGGCCGGCUGCUUCCGGCAACCAGACUUCGAACUCAUCUGCGACCAUCACGACAAGACGAUGCCUCAUCGACUUUUCCUCCACGACGGCACCACGGAGGUCAUCAACGACAUCAUCGCCCCAGGUUUUGGUUCUUACAACCGCUACCAGGAUGUUGAUAUACAGUUUUCACAUGUCAUCAGCUUGAAAUCUGGUUUGAAUGAGUACACCAUGUCCUGGAAAGCACCUGGGAGGUCCUUCAACCUUGAUACUGCAUAUUUUGAUAUCACUGGUUGCGACUUUGAUAUCUACCAGCUCGAUCGUGACCUGAACACGGGCCAGAGGCUUUGCACAGCUAGUUGUCCGAAUGAGCAAAUCACGGAUCUAGUGGCCCGGGAGAGCUGCAACGGUACAGGAUGUUGCUCUAUUAUGCUGGGAGAAAGUGAUUUCGAUCUCAAGUUUGUAGCCCACAGGGUAGAGAAGGACCAGCCGCCACGCCAUAAGAGGAGCACCCUUUGGGAUAGAAUCAAUGUGACUUCCACGUCUUUUGGUCUCACUUGGACCAUCGCGGAUGAAACAUCAUGCUCCGCCGCAUUGGACAAUAUGACCAACUAUGCCUGCGUUAGCAGCCACAGCGUGUGCAUGCCUAACAACCUCGAGUCAAUAAUCGGUUACAUGUGUGCCUGUGAUGCAGGCUAUGCAGGCAAUGCUUAUAUAAUGAUGGAUGUUAUCGCGACAAAGAUAUUGAUGAGUGUGAGACUCCUGGUAUUUGUAAAGGGCUUUGUCAUAAUACUAUUGGAAGCCACAAUUGCACCGCAUGUCCUAGAAAAACGGAAUAUGAUUUCCUAGCAAUGAAGUGCACUUCAACAAAGAGGCAGAGUCUUUUACUUGGUAUUGUCAUUGGGCUAAGCGUUGGUUUUGGCAUUCUACUUCUCAUCAUACUUGCAAUAUUUAUUAUCCGAAGGUGGAAAUUAGAUAUCGAACAGCAAUUGCGAAGAAAGUAUUUCAAAAAGAACCAGGGUCUUCUUCUAGAACAAUUGAUUUCUUCCGAUGAAAAUGCGAGUGACAAAACAAAGAUUUUCUCCUUGGCAGAGCUACAAAAGGCAACAAAUAACUUUGACCACACACGUAUCGUUGGUCGUGGAGGGCAUGUCAUGGUAUACAAAGGCAUCCUAUCGGACCAACGAGUAGUGGCCAUUAAAAAGUCUAAAGUCACUGCACAAAUUGAGAUUAGUCAGUUCAUCAACGAGGUUGCUGUCCUCUCACAGAUAAACCACGGAAAUAUUGUGAAGCUCUUUGGAUGUUGCCUUGAGAGUGAGGUUCCACUACUUGUGUAUGACUUCAUACCUGAUGGUUCAUUAUUAGGUGUUCUUCAUAAUCCAAACAACAACUCUUCCUUGUCGUGGGAUGAUUGCUUAAGAAUUGCUAUAGAAGCAGCUGGAGCCCUUUCUUACCUUCAUUCAGCUGCUUCUGUAUCAAUCUUUCAUCGUGAUGUGAAGUCGACAAAUAUACUCCUGGAUGGGAAUUAUACAGCAAAGGUGUCAGACUUUGGUGCUUCGAGGUUGGUUCCUAUUGACCAGACCCAUGUUAUGACGAAUAUACAAGGUACAUUUGGGUACUUAGAUCCAGAAUAUUAUCACACUGGCCUUUUAAAUGAGAAGAGUGAUGUGUACAGUUUUGGUACGGUACUUGUGGAGUUGCUCCUUCGAAAGGAGCCUAUUUUUACCACUGAUUCCGGGCUAAAGCAAAACUUAUCCAAUUACUUCCUUUGGGAGAUAAGGGAGAAACCACUUGCUGAAAUUGUAGCUGCUCAAGUUCUCGAGGAAGCAACCGAGGAAGAUAUUAGUGGUGUAGCCGGUGUUGCGGAUAUCUGUUUGCGUCUUCGAGGUGAAGAAAGACCUACUAUGAAAGAAGUCGAGAUGAAAUUGCAGCAUGUGCGAUUGGAGAGGUUGAGAAUGUGCGAGCUUGCUGCAAAAGACCAAGACAUUCAACCUAUGCUGACAGUACAAAGCCAAGUUCGUCAUCAGUCUUUAGCUACUGCAGCUGGGAAGGUGGGAAGCUCAAAUUCAUCUUCCGAGAGAAGCCAAAAUUGUUAUAGCUUGGAGCAAGAAUUUAUGUCAUCAGCGACUCUACCACGCUAG